CAGCCGCCACGGGAAUACGGAGGGUGCAAGCGUUAUCCGGAUUUAUUGGGUUUAAAGGGUCCGUAGGCGGACUUAUAAGUCAGUGGUGAAAGCCUGUCGCUUAACGAUAGAACUGCCAUUGAUACUGUAAGUCUUGAGUAUAUUUGAGGUAGCUGGAAUAAGUAGUGUAGCGGUGAAAUGCAUAGAUAUUACUUAGAACACCAAUUGCGAAGGCAGGUUACCAAGAUAUAACUGACGCUGAGGGACGAAAGCGUGGGUAGCGAACAGGAUUAGAUACCCGGGUAGUCCCUGUCUCUUAUAA
rnacentral:rRNA from 1 species